GUCAAGAUUUAACUGAAGGACCACAUUGUGAAUAUUGUCAAACUGGUUAUUUUGGAAACCCCAGAAAUGGAGGAAAUUGUUCAGUUUGUGAAUGUAAUGAGCAGGCUGAUUUAUGUGAUCGUGAAUCAGGUAAAUGUCACUGUAGAACGAGA